rnacentral:rRNA from 1 species
GACGAACGCUGGCGGCGUGCUUAACACCUGCAAGUCGAACGAAGUGGCGAACGGGUGAGUAACGCGUACUCAACCUGCCCUUCAGAGGGGGACAACAGUUGGAAACGACUGCUAAUACCGCAUACUGAAGGAGGGGAUUGCGUCUGAUUUGCUAGUUGGAGGGGUAACGGCCCACCAAGGCGAUGAUCAGUAGCCGGGCUGAGAGGAUGAACGGCCACAGUGUGACUGAGACACGGCCCAGACUCCUACGGGAGGCAGCAGUGGGGAAUCGUCCGCAAUGGACGAAAGUCUGACGGAGCAACGCCGCGUGAGUGAUGACGGCCUUCGGGUUGUAAAGCUCUGUUAAUCGGGACGCGGUACCGGAAUAGAAAGCCACGGCUAACUACGUGCCAGCCGCCGCGGUAAUAC